rnacentral:snoRNA from 1 species
AGCAUUUGUGUAUGUUUUUAUUAAACUGGUAGACAAAGACGUNAAAGACAGAUGCAAAAAUAAAACCUCUUUUGAAACCCAGAACGCCUAUGAGUUUUGAUACAUAUGAGACAGAGAGCA